rnacentral:lncRNA from 1 species
CCCCUAGGUCGCGGGACAGCCGGGGCGGAAGGGCUUGUUCAUUAUUUUGAGAGUUUGUUGUGAACGUCAUAACCCUUCGUCCUUAAAUAUUGCCGAUACUUGACCUACGCAAGAGACAAUGUCAUGUGAUUCAGCCUAAUAUCUCAGAGGAUGCAGCAUUCAAGGUUCUAUCUUGGAAGCAGAGACUGUGCCCUCACCAGAUGCUGAACCUGCUGAGCACCCUGAUCUUCCACUUCACCUUCAUCAGAACUACUGUUUGCUGUGAUUGCACCUGCCAUCUUAUGCAGAAAUGACCUGAAGACAGAUUGAAACAACGUGUUCUACAGCCUGAAAAUAUCUACCUUGACUUACAGUUUUAUUAAUGCUGGUGUGAUCAGACUGGACAAAAAUUAGCAUAUGUUAUUAACUAAUCUAAUUCAAAUGCCAAUUCUUAAUAGAAACACAAAACAAUAAAAGCAAUUCAGAAAAUA